UGGGGAAUAUUGGACAAUGGGCGCAAGCCUGAUCCAGCCAUGCCGCGUGAGUGAUGAAGGCCUUAGGGUUGUAAAGCUCUUUUAGCAGGGAAGAUAAUGACGGUACCUGCAGAAAAAGCCCCGGCUAACUUCGUGCCAGCAGCCGCGGUAAUACGAAGGGGGCUAGCGUUGCUCGGAAUUACUGGGCGUAAAGCGCACGUAGGCGGACUCUUAAGUCGGUGGUGAAAUCCUGGAGCUCAACUCCAGAACUGCCUUCGAUACUGGGAGUCUUGAGUUCGGGAGAGGUAAGUGGAACUGCGAGUGUAGAGGUGAAAUUCGUAGAUAUUCGCAAGAACACCAGUGGCGAAGGCGGCUCACUGACCCGAUACUGACGCUGAAGUGCGAAAGCGUGGGGAG
rnacentral:rRNA from 1 species